AGGCAGCACAGCCAGAAGUGAAGAGGCGGGGCCAGAGUCUCUCCACUUCUGGCCACGCUGCUCUCCCCCCAGCCUCCAAAGCAGCUGCAGCAGCUCUGGGGCUGGCAAGCUGCGGCUGCACUGCCCGGCCUGCUGGAGCAGCUCCGGCCAGGACAGAGACAUCCUCCCUGGCCUGCCCUAGAGACUGUCCAGUUUGGCCAAUGUACAUGGCAGAGCUGUGAAUCACACCUCCCAGCAGCUGUCUAGACAUACUCUUGGAAUAUGCUGUGAAACUAGCAUAAAUGGAGUCACAUAUGCAAUCACUUUCUAAUAGAAGACACUGCCUUAAUUACAAAUACAGGUCCAUCAGUAACAUAGCAAAGUAGGCAUUAAGAAGCUUUGUUGAUACAUACAAGUCACUUUGAAGCUACAGCAUUCUAUAAGGAAUGAAUACCAAAGAAGUGGUUUACCUCUCUACCAAGUCAAGUUCUGAAAGAUUAUGUCCUGUCAAGAGUCAUUCUGCUACCAUACAGAGGCCCAAUGGCUGAGACAGAGGAGAACUGAUCUGGGUAUAGGAGUAAUUCUAGGAUUGCCACCGCUGCUCUUCUAAUAUUUCCAUACUUGAGUUUAUUGCUCUUCUAUUGGCACCUGAUGGAAAGCUAUUGUGCACAUAGCAUCAUGUCUGCAGAUUCAGGAAGGCACCAAUCCACUUGUUUGCACUCUGCUCAUUUUUCCAACUAUAUGGGUUAGAAACAGGUGGUUUUUUUUUAAACUGCGAUUCCAGAACUCCUACAGCACAUUCUGAAGCCACAGAAGCAUGGGAUGUGCAAGGUCCGGGGUCUAAUGAUGUGAUAUAUGCCAUCAUGUGCCAGCAAUGCGCCCUUGCCAUGUACAUUGGCCAAACCGGACAGUCUCUACAUAAAAAAAAUGAACGGACACAAAUCAGAUGUCAAGAAUUAUAACAUUCAAAAACAAGUCGGAGAACAUUUCAAUCUCUCUGGUCACUCGAUUACAGACCUAAAAAUCGCAAUAUUACAACAACAAAAACUUCAAAAACAGACUCCAAUGAGAGACUGCUGAAUUGGAAUUAAUUUGCAAACUGGACACCAUUAUAGUAGGCUUGAAUAAAGACAGAGUGGAUGGGUCAUUACACAAAGUAAAACUAUUUCCCCAUGCUUAUUUCUCCCCCGCAGCCACUGUUACUCUCACCUUCUUAUCAACUGUUGGAAAUGGGCUAUCCUGAUUAUUACUACAAAAGGUUUUUUCUCCUGCUGAUAACAGCUCACCUUAAUUGAUCACUCUCGUUAUAGUGUGUAUGACAACACCCAUUUUUUCCCAUGUUCUCUGUGUAUAUACGUAUAUAUCUUCCUACUGUACUUUCCACUGCAUGCAUCCGAUAAAGUGGGUUUUAGCCCCCGAAAGCUUAUGCUCAAAUAAAUUUGUUAGACUCUAA